GGCUCUGGAGAAUCCCAUUCAAUUGGGUGCCGAAGGUGUAAGGCUUUGAAAGCUGAAUCUCUCAGGCAAAAGGACAGAGAAA
rnacentral:ncRNA from 1 species